AGAGUUUGAUCAUGGCUCAGUACGAACGCUGGCGGCGUGCCUAAUACAUGCAAGUCGAACGCACUCCCGUUAGAUUGAAGAAGCUUGCUUCUGAUUGAUAACAUUUGAGUGAGUGGCGGACGGGUGAGUAACACGUGGGUAACCUGCCCUAAAGUGGGGGAUAACAUUUGGAAACAGAUGCUAAUACCGCAUAAAACCUAGCACCGCAUGGUGCAAGGUUGAAAGAUGGUUUCGGCUAUCACUUUAGGAUGGAUCCGCGGUGCAUUAGUUAGUUGGUGAGGUAAAGGCUCACCAAGACCGUGAUGCAUAGCCGACCUGAGAGGGUAAUCGGCCACACUGGGACUGAGACACGGCCCAGACUCCUACGGGAGGCAGCAGUAGGGAAUCUUCCACAAUGGACGAAAGUCUGAUGGAGCAACGCCGCGUGAGUGAAGAAGGUUUUCGGGUCGUAAAACUCUGUUGUUGGAGAAGAACGUAUUUGAUAGUAACUGAUCAGGUAGUGACGGUAUCCAACCAGAAAGCCACGGCUAACUACGUGCCAGCAGCCGCGGUAAUACGUAGGUGGCAAGCGUUGUCCGGAUUUAUUGGGCGUAAAGCGAGCGCAGGCGGUUUCUUAAGUCUGAUGUGAAAGCCUUCGGCUCAACCGAAGAAGUGCAUCGGAAACUGGGAAACUUGAGUGCAGAAGAGGACAGUGGAACUCCAUGUGUAGCGGUGAAAUGCGUAGAUAUAUGGAAGAACACCAGUGGCGAAGGCGGCUGUCUGGUCUGUAACUGACGCUGAGGCUCGAAAGCAUGGGUAGCAAACAGGAUUAGAUACCCUGGUAGUCCAUGCCGUAAACGAUGAGUGCUAGGUGUUGGAGGGUUUCCGCCCUUCAGUGCCGCAGCUAACGCAUUAAGCACUCCGCCUGGGGAGUAC
rnacentral:rRNA from 1 species